UGCGGGAUCGUCUAAUGGUUGGACAUCUGCCUUUGAAGCAGAAGAUUCUAGGUUCGAGUCCUAGUCCCGCAGCCA
rnacentral:tRNA from 1 species